GAUGAAGGUCAAGCUGAUGUUACUGCUGCUUGUAAAAAAUAUCGUAUCAAUCCUGAGCUCUCUAGAUCUGAAAUUGCUGAGAUACUAAUCACUAAGACCCCAAAAGCUAAAGAAAGUGCAUACAAGCAUGACAAGACUAUAUAGUACUGCAGCCUGGACAGGAAGAAGUAAAAGAAU